rnacentral:rRNA from 1 species
AACGGAAAGGCCCUGCUUGCAGGGUACUCGAGUGGCGAACGGGUGAGUAACACGUGGGUGAUCUGCCCUGCACUUCGGGAUAAGCUUGGGAAACUGGGUCUAAUACCGGAUAGGAGCCAUCUUUAGUGUGGUGGUUGGAAAGUUUUUUCGGUGUAGGAUGUGCUCGCGGCCUAUCAGCUUGUUGGUGGGGUAAUGGCCUACCAAGGCGGCGACGGGUAGCCGGCCUGAGAGGGUGUACGGCCACAUUGGGACUGAGAUACGGCCCAGACUCCUACGGGGGGCAGCAGUGGGGAAUAUUGCACAAUGGGCGCAAGCCUGAUGCAGCGACGCCGCGUGGGGGAUGAAGGCCUUCGGGUUGUAAACUCCUUUCGCUAGGGACGAAGCUUUGUUGUGACGGUACCUAGAUAAGAAGCACCGGCUAACUACGUGCCAGCAGCCGCGGUAAUACGUAGGGUGCGAGCGUUGUCCGGAAUUACUGGGCGUAAAGGGCUCGUAGGUGGUUUGUCGCGUCGUCUGUGAAAUUCUGGGGCUUAACUCCGGGCGUGCAGGCGAUACGGGCAUAACUUGAGUGCUGUAGGGGUAACUGGAAUUCCUGGUGUAGCGGUGAAAUGCGCAGAUAUCAGGAGGAACACCGAUGGCG